rnacentral:rRNA from 1 species
CCUACGGGAGGCAGCAGUCGAGAAUCAUUCACAAUGGGGGAAACCCUGAUGGUGCGACGCCGCGUGGGGGAAUGAAGGUCUUCGGAUUGUAAACCCCUGUCAUGUGGGAGCAAAUUAAAAAGAUAGUACCACAAGAGGAAGAGACGGCUAACUCUGUGCCAGCAGCCGCGGUAAUACAGAGGUCUCAAGUUUUGUUCGGAAUCACUGGGCGUAAAGCGUGCGUAGGCGGUUUCGUAAGUCGUGUGUGAAAGGCGCGGGCUCAACCCGCGGACGGCACAUGAUACUGCGAGACUAGAGUAGUGGAGGGGGAACCGGAAUUCUCGGUGUAGCAGUGAAAUGCGUAGAUAUCGAGAGGAACACUAGUGGCGAAGGCGGGUUCCUGGACAUUAACUGACGCUGAGGCACGAAGGCCAGGGGAGCGAAAGGGAUUAGAUACCCGAGUAGUC